AUGUAUCUGUGUGUGUCCAUGCGUAUUUGCACGUGCGUCUGUGUNNNNNNNNNNUCUGUGUGUCAGUACACACGUACAUACACACGUGUGUGCACACUGUGUGCCUGCGUAUGUGUGUGUGUCCAUGUGUAUUUGCACAUGCGUCUGUGUGUCUGUUUACACGUACAUACACACGUGUGUGCACACUGUGUGCCUGUGUAUCUGUGUCCGUGUGUCCGUGUGUGUAUUUGCACGUGCGUCUGUGUGUUUACACGUACAUACAUGUGUGUGCACACACUGUGUGCCUGCAUAUCUGUGUGUCCAUGUGUAUUUGCACGUGUGUCUGUGUGUCAGUAUACACGUACAUAUGCACAUGUGUGCACAAUGUGUGCCUGCGUGUGUGUGUCCGUGUGUGUAUUUGCACGUGUCUGUGUGUCAGUAUGCACGUACAUACACACGUGUGUGCACACUGUGUGCCUGUGUAUCUGUGNNNNNNNNNNCACACUGUGUGCCUGUGUAUCUGUGUGUGUCUGUGUGUGUAUUUGCAUGUGCGUCUGUGUGUCAGUAUACACGUACACACACACGUGUGCACACUGUGUGCCUGUGUGUCUUUGUGUGUCUGUGUGUGUAUUUGCACGUGCGUCUGUGUGUCAGUAUACACGUACAUACACACGUGUGUGCACACUGUGUGCCUGUGUAUCUGUGUGUGUCCGUGUGUGUAUUUGCACGUGCGUCUGUGUGUCAGUAUACACGUACAUAUGCACAUGUGCGCACACUGUGUGUGCCUGCAUUUUUGUGUGUGUCCGUGUGUGUAAAUUCAUCUUUGGAUGCCUGGAUUGCAUUGUGAGGGACAUUUUCCAGAAAGACUUUGUAAACGCUCGCUUCCCGAGUCCUCGUAAGCUGCAAAUGCCCUUCCUUCACGCCUGCACAUCUGACAGCAUCCCGUUGCUGCGUUCAGGGAGCUCCGUCACGCGGCACACACCGUUGCACUCCGUCGCAUCCAGUACUGCCGAGGAGUGCUCGUUUUUCCUCCUUCUGGGCCACCUGCUCCUUCUGCUGGAGCUCAGAGCACUCCAUCCUAGACAGGGGGAAGCAGACCUUUCCCGGAAAGGGCCAGAGAGUGAAUAUGUUCAACUGUGUGUGCCAGACAUCGUCUGUCACAACUACCGCCCUGGCUGA
rnacentral:lncRNA from 1 species